UACAGAGGGUGCAAGCGUUAAUCGGAAUUACUGGGCGUAAAGCGCGCGUAGGCGGUUAUUUAAGUCGGAUGUGAAAGCCCCGGGCUCAAACUGGGAAUUGCAUUCGAUACUGAGUAACUAGAGUAUGAGAGAGGGAGGUAGAAGUCCACGUGUAGCGGUGAAAUGCGUAGAUAUGUGGAGGAAUGCCGGUGGCGAAGGCGGCCUCCUGGCUUAAUACUGACGCUGAGGUGCGAAAUCGUGGGGAUCAAACAGG
rnacentral:rRNA from 1 species